UGAGGAACCUGCCCCGAAGACCGGGAUAACCCUCCGAAAGGAGGGCUAAUACCGGAUGCCCUCACCGGACCGCAUGAUCUGGUGAGGAAAUGGAUUCCGCUUCGGGGAGGGUCUCGCGGCCUAUCAGCUUGUUGGUGGGGUAGUGGCCUACCAAGGCGACGACGGGUAGCCGGCCUGAGAGGGUGACCGGCCACACUGGGACUGAGACACGGCCCAGACUCCUACGGGAGGCAGCAG
rnacentral:rRNA from 1 species